rnacentral:rRNA from 1 species
UACGUAGGGGGCAAGCGUUGUCCGGAAUUAUUGGGCGUAAAGAGCGUGUAGGCGGUCCGGUAAGUCAGCUGUGAAAGUCACGGGCUCAACCCUUGAAUGCCGGUUGAUACUGUCGGGCUAGAGUCCGGAAGAGGCGAGUGGAAUUCCCGGUGUAGCGGUGAAAUGCGCAGAUAUCGGGAGGAACACCAAUGGCGAAGGCAGCUCGCUGGGACGGUACUGACGCUGAGACGCGAAAGCGUGGGGAGCAAACAGG